rnacentral:other from 1 species
CUACCCAACUCUGGGGAGUAGCUUCUUUUGAUUUCCAACUAUUCCGGUUAUCAAAAGGCAUGUGUCAACAUACUUGAGAAUAUCUCAUGGCACACGCGCCGUAAGGUUAGCAAGACCAGUAGUAAAUAACUUCUUUAGCGCCGAGCUUAGAAGUGGU